AUUGAACGCUGGCGGCAUGCUUUACACAUGCAAGUCGAACGGCAGCGCGGGCUUCGGCCUGGCGGCGAGUGGCGAACGGGUGAGUAAUAUAUCGGAACGUACCCAAGAGUGGGGAUAACGUAGCGAAAGUUACGCUAAUACCGCAUACGAUCUAAGGAUGAAAGCAGGGGAUCGCAAGACCUUGUGCUCCUGGAGCGGCCGAUAUCUGAUUAGCUAGUUGGUGAGGUAAAGGCUCACCAAGGCAACGAUCAGUAGCUGGUCUGAGAGGACGACCAGCCACACUGGAACUGAGACACGGUCCAGACUCCUACGGGAGGCAGCAGUGGGGAAUUUUGGACAAUGGGGGCAACCCUGAUCCAGCAAUGCCGCGUGAGUGAAGAAGGCC
rnacentral:rRNA from 1 species